CUCCACUCAUAGAACGUGCAGAGGCCUCUGGUUUAGCUGUGCCUGCGCAGGACGAGAAUCACGGUCUCCUCCCCAUCACUUUACCCCCGAGCUCCUGCCGCCUUGCACCCUGCUGCUUUAUUCCUUGUCUCAGAACUACCCCAGUCCUUUGCCUUCAGGAGGUGAAUUUCAAAUUUGUUCUCCUGCUUCUUCGCUUGGCUGUCUUGCAAAUAAACCGUCUUUGGGGCAGACAUCGGCAUCUCAGCCUUUUGGCUUAGUGUGCGUACGGCGAAACGAAACCGAUUCGGUAACUGACCAAGAGCUCUUACAGGAGAGUGGAAGGUACCAUGGAGAUAUGUCGGUUUGCGCCUUACUCAGCCUAGGGGAGGAGUUGGAGGGCUCCUCUUGGUUGCUUUAUUGUCUUGGGAUACCUUACACCCACCUCUGACACACAGGGAGGUUGGAAACUGUGAUAUGAAGCUGAGGAUUCUGAGCACAGGAGCCCCCUCUAUGCCACUUGGAUGUCAUUAAAAGUGCUUUUCUGGAUUACUACAACAGCUUGGAAACAAACCUCUCCAUCGCCCUCCAAUCCAGACUCUAGAUGGCAGCCUGAAUAAUAGUUUAGAAGUUCACAUUUGCCCAUCUCACUGUUGACGCUUAAAAGUAUUUAUGGUCUCUCUUCAACUUGGAUGCAGUUCAGAGUCCUUCACGUCACAAUCAAGACUUUGUACAACACACUGCUAUAUUUAACAUGGAUAACCAACAAGGACCUACUGGAUAGCAUAUGAAACUCUGCUCAAUGUUAUGUGCCAGCCUGGAUGGGAGGGGAGUUUUGGGGGAGAAGGGACACAUAUAUAUGUGUGGCUGAGUCCCUUCACUGUUCACCUGAAACUAUCAUAACAGUGUUAAUUGGCUAUACUCCCAACAGAAAAUAAAAGGUUCAAAAAAACAAGGGAAAAGAAGAAAUUAAGAGAUGCUGUAUGAGUUUGUGCUUACCUCCGUUUUCAGUCUCUUUAGCUGCUUUCCCCUC
ensembl:lncRNA